rnacentral:rRNA from 1 species
AUUGAACGCUGGCGGCAUGCCUUACACAUGCAAGUCGAGCGGUAACAGGUCUUCGGAUGCUGACGAGUGGCGAACGGGUGAGUAAUACAUCGGAACGUGCCCGAUCGUGGGGGAUAACGAGGCGAAAGCUUUGCUAAUACCGCAUACGAUCUACGGAUGAAAGCGGGGGAUCUUCGGACCUCGCGCGGACGGAGCGGCCGAUGGCAGAUUAGGUAGUUGGUGGGAUAAAAGCUUACCAAGCCGACGAUCUGUAGCUGGUCUGAGAGGAUGAUCAGCCACACUGGGACUGAGACACGGCCCAGACUCCUACGGGAGGCAGCAGUGGGGAAUUUUGGACAAUGGGCGAAAGCCUGAUCCAGCCACGCCGCGUGCAGGAUGAAGGCCUUUGGGUUGUAAACUGCUUUUGUACGGAACGAAAAGCCUCUUUCUAAUAAAGAGGGGUCAUGACGGUACCGUAAGAAUAAGCACCGGCUAACUACGUG